GCUCCGGUGGCCAAGUUGGAUAAGGCAUGUGGCUUAUGACCGCGAGAUCGUGGGUUCGAGUCCCACCCGGAGCA
rnacentral:tRNA from 1 species